GACAGAGGUGCCGAGCGUUAGGCGGAAUCACUGGGCUUAAAGCGUGUGUAGGCGGAUUUGUAAGUACCUUGUGAAAUCCCACGGCUCAACCGUGGAACUGCUUGGUAUACUGCUUAUCUUGGGCCACUUAGGGGCUACCGGAACAAACGGUGGAGCGGUGAAAUGCGUAGAUAUCGUUUGGAACGCCAAUGGUGAAAACAGGUAACUGGGAGUGUGCCGACGCUGAGACACGAAAGCCAGGGGAGCGAACGGG
rnacentral:rRNA from 1 species